rnacentral:rRNA from 1 species
AUUGAACGCUGGCGGCAUGCCUUACACAUGCAAGUCGAACGGUAACGCGGGGGCAACCUGGCGACGAGUGGCGAACGGGUGAGUAAUAUAUCGGAACGUGCCCAAUAGUGGGGGAUAGCCCGGCGAAAGCCGGAUUAAUACCGCAUGAGACCUGAGGGUGAAAGCGGGGGAUCGCAAGACCUCGCGCUAUUGGAGCGGCCGAUAUCAGAUUAGGUAGUUGGUGGGGUAAAAGCCUACCAAGCCGACGAUCUGUAGCUGGUCUGAGAGGACGACCAGCCACACUGGGACUGAGACACGGCCCAGACUCCUACGGGAGGCAGCAGUGGGGAAUUUUGGACAAUGGGCGAAAGCCUGAUCCAGCCAUGCCGCGUGCAGGAAGAAGGCCUUCGGGUUGUAAACUGCUUUAGUCUAGGAAAAAGGGGUGCGAGGUUAAUACCCUCGUGCUUUGAUGGUACUGGAAGAAUAAGCACCGGCUAACUACGUG